rnacentral:rRNA from 1 species
GACGAACGCUGGCGGCGUGCUUAACACAUGCAAGUCGAGCGGUAAGGCCCCUUCGGGGGUACGACGAGCGGCGAACGGGUGAGUAACACGUGGGUGACCUGCCCUCAGCUCUGGGAUAAGCCUGGGAAACUGGGUCUAAUACCGGAUAUGACUCCAUGACGCAUGUCGUGGGGUGGAAAGCCUUGUGCGGCUGAGGAUGGGCCCGCGGCCUAUCAGCUUGUUGGUGGGGUGANGGCCUACCAAGGCGACGACGGGUAGCCGGCCUGAGAGGGCGACCGGCCACACUGGGACUGAGACACGGCCCACGACUCCUACGGGAGGCAGCAGUGGGGAAGUCUUGCGCAAUGGGCGAAAGCCUGACGCAGCGACGCCGCGUGAGGGAUGACGGCCCUCGGGUUGUAAACCUCUUCAGCUCCGACGAAGCGAGAGUGACGGUAGG